rnacentral:rRNA from 1 species
UACAGAGGUCCCAAGCGUUGUUCGGAUUUAUUGGGCGUAAAGAGCGUGUAGGCGGCCAGACAGGUCAGCUGUGAAAACUCGAGGCUCAACCUCGAGACGUCGGUUGAAACCGUCUGGCUAGAGUCCGGAAGAGGAGAGUGGAAUUCCCGGUGUAGCGGUGAAAUGCGCAGAUAUCGGGAAGAACACCCGUGGCGAAGGCGGCUCUCUGGGACGGUACUGACGCUGAGACGCGAAAGCGUGGGGAGCGAACAGG